rnacentral:tRNA from 2 species
UAGCAUAUAAUUUAAAGGUUAGAAUAUAUUAUUACGAAUGAUAUUAUAUAGGUUCGAAUCCUAUUAUGCUAA